UACGUAGGGCGCAAGCGUUAUCCGGAAUUAUUGGGCGUAAAGAGCUCGUAGGCGGUUUGUCGCGUCUGCCGUGAAAGUCCGGGGCUUAACCCCGGAUCUGCGGUGGGUACGGGCAGACUAGAGUGCAGUAGGGGAGACUGGAAUUCCUGGUGUAGCGGUGAAAUGCGCAGAUAUCAGGAGGAACACCGAUGGCGGAGGCAGGUCUCUGGGCUGUAACUGACGCUGAGGAGCGAAAGCAUGGGGAGCGA
rnacentral:rRNA from 1 species